AAGUCGUAACAAGGUUUCAUUAGAACAAGUUUGAAGAUUGUAAUGAUUCUUCCGCAGUAUACACUUGCCGAAGCCUUUGCAGCCACGCAAGUGGUAGAUAUAGCAACGACUAUAAAUAACAGUAAUACCGCUAUGCAAGUCAGUAGUUAUAUAACUCUGGCGACACUUUCGAAUUGACGGGGACACCCUAAAGCCUAUUGCACAAACUUAGGUAGGAAACUAGCCUAAGGGCCCAUGCUAAUUACAUGGGGUUGUAAAAGACAAUAUGGAUACUUCUUUUACUUUGGUAAAAGUAAAUAUGGGCAAUCCGCAGCGAAGCCUCUAAGUUUUUAAAUUAAAAAUAUGAGGAACGUUCACAGACUAAGUGGAAGUGGGUGAAGUUUUCUACUAGAAACUUUGCUUAAGAUAUAGUCGGGCCCUCUAAGAAAUUAGAGGGGUAAGUAUACUUGCAAUUAGAAGUUUACUCCGUUCCGUAGGUGAACCUGCGGAAGGAUCAUUAUGGCAAAAUAUAUCCGGAAGGUACUCUAGGGUACCUUCUCUGGCCAAACCUUGCAAAUUUGAACUUAAUAGUUACCUUGGUAGGCUUAACUGCCUGUGGAUAAAUCUAAAUUCUUUAAUAAACUGGCUGUAAUUAAUGCAACUGUCUGAAAUAAUGUUAAUAUUAAAA
rnacentral:ncRNA from 1 species